UCAAAUCAGGCAGACCUUUGGUAAUAAUUUCCGGCCCUAAGGAAGCAUUUCUUGUUAGUGUUUUCAUCUGUCUGUCUUUGAGGAAAGCAGAACUGAAUUCUCAAAGGCUGCAGAGGUGGGAACUGGGAGAAGGCAGGUAGGCAGCCAUCUGAAAUGUUUUAUCAAGGAAAUGGUCCAAGUUUCCUGUAAAGCCACAAGAGAAGCAGAGGAAGAUCUGUGUCAUACUAAAAAGAAAGGAAGGUCUUGGAGGUUUAAAGGAGUGGUAUGAAGAAAAUCCAGCUAUAUGAGUUUCACAGCUGGAACUCAGCUCCUGUGGCUGCUGAGUCAUUUGGAAUAUCCACUCAAUGUGGCUGUAAUCAGCAGGGCAACUUCCACUGAGACCUUCUGAGAGCUGCCAAAAGAAAUCUGGAUGAUGGAGUCACUCAGAGAUUCCAGUUUGAUCUGCAUCACACCAGAGCCGUGGGGACCAUUUCCCAUUAUGCUGGAAACAAACAGUGCAAUGACAUCCAAGACUGGACUGGUUUAAUUUAAAUGAGAAAUCAGAGGCUUCUGGGAUCAGGACUGUGUUAUCUCCACAGAUGUAGAGCAGAGUUUCAUUUUUUCAUCAAUCUGCUUACAUUAAAUUGAAAUAGCAGAA